CUCGGUUGGCUCUUCCACCUCAGGUGCAUGAGGGAUAUCACCAGUUGCGUCCGAGGGGGUACUCUCCUCACCAACUUCAGCAGGGACGGUACGAGGAGGAGAGUUGUCCUCCUCAACCACAAUUGGUUCCACCUCUUCGACAUCCUCUUUUGCUGCCUCCUUGUCCAUGUGUUGAGCAACACCAGCUGCAAGGUCAUCCAUCUUCAAAUCAGGGUGCUACUUCCCAAGGACGGCCAUAAUACAACGAUAGGAAUGCCGAAGUCCCUGGUCGUACUGGUUGUCGGCUUCCUUCUCCAAGUUCUUGACCUGAACUCGGUGGGAAUCGCGGAGAGAUUCGAGCUGAGCCUCGUACAUAACCUUCUGCCUUUGCAGAUCCUC
rnacentral:lncRNA from 1 species